GGAUUGAUAGCUUGGUUGGUAAAGCAUUUGACCGUAGAUCGAGAGGUCCCGGGUUCAAACCCCGGACAAUUCA